CGAAGGGGGCAAGCGUUGCUCGGAAUCACUGGGCGUAAAGCGCACGUAGGCGGGUUGUUAAGUCAGAGGUGAAAUCCUGGAGCUCAACUCCAGAACUGCCUUUGAUACUGGCGACCUUGAGUUCGAGAGAGGUUGGUGGAACUGCGAGUGUAGAGGUGAAAUUCGUAGAUAUUCGCAAGAACACCAGUGGCGAAGGCGGCCAACUGGCUCGAUACUGACGCUGAGGUGCGAAAGCGUGGGAGCAAACAGGAUU
rnacentral:rRNA from 1 species